rnacentral:rRNA from 1 species
AGUGAACGCUGGCGGCGUGCCUAACACAUGCAAGUCGAGCGGGCUUAUGCAGAACACCGCAUGAGCUAGCGGCAGACGGGUGAGUAAUAUUUGAGAAACCUUCCUUAGAAUGGGGAACACCCCCGAGAAAUCGGGGUUAAUACCCCAUAAGACCACGGUCCGGCAUCGGACAGGGGUCAAAGGCCCGCAAGGGUCGUUUUGAGAUGGUCUCGAAUCCUAUCAGCUUGUUGGCGGGGUAACGGCCCACCAAGGCUAUGACGGGUAUCCGGCCUGAAAGGGUGUACGGACACACUGGAACUGAGACACGGUCCAGACUCCUACGGGUGGCAG